rnacentral:misc_RNA from 1 species
GUCGGAGAUGGUGGUAAUAUUGAGAAAGUUGACGCUGAUCAUGCAGAUGAUCCUGGGAAAUGUCCUUCACCAGGUGACAACAUUCCAGAAUUUGGAGGUGUAUGUCACGUGAACUUUAGCAGUGGACCUGCCAAAGGAAAAUUUUGCUGGGAUAGACAACCAGAAUGGAGUGCAUAUAGAGAGAGCAGCUUCGGGCACGGGAUACCGGA